CAGCCGCCACGGUAAUGCGUAGGGUGCGAGCGUUAAUCGGAAUUACUGGGCGUAAAGCGUGCGCAGGCGGUUGUGUAAGACAGGUGUGAAAUCCCCGGGCUUAACCUGGGAACCGCGCUUGUGACUGCACAGCUAGAGUAUGGCAGAGGGGGGUGGAAUUCCACGUGUAGCGGUGAAAUGCGUAGAGAUGUGGAGGAACGCCGAUGGCGAAGGCAGCCCCCCGGGCCAAUACUGACGCUCAUGCACGAAAGCGUGGGGAGCAAACAGGAUUAGAUACCCCCGUAGUCCCUGUCUCUUAUAA
rnacentral:rRNA from 1 species